rnacentral:rRNA from 1 species
GUCGGGAAUCUUGGACAAUGGGCGCAAGCCUGAUCCAGCCAUGCCGCGUGAAUGAUGAAGGCCUUAGGGUUGUAAAAUUCUUUCGUGGGGGACGAUAAUGACGGUACCCCAAGAAGAAGCUCCGGCUAACUUCGUGCCAGCAGCCGCGGUAAUACGAAGGGGGCUAGCGUUGUUCGGAAUUACUGGGCGUAAAGCGCGUGUAGGCGGGCCGUUAAGUCGGGGGUGAAAUCCCAGAGCUCAACUCUGGAACUGCCUUCGAUACUGGCGACCUGGACCCAAGUAGAGGCGAGUGGAAUUACGAGUGUAGAGGUGAAAUUCGUAGAUAUUCGUAGGAACACCAGUGGCGAAGGCGACUCGCUGGACUUGUGGUGACGCUGAGACGCGAAAGCGUGGGGAGCAAACAGGAUUAGAAACCCCAGUAGUCC